rnacentral:rRNA from 1 species
AGGGUUUGAUCAUGGCUCAGGACGAACGCUGGCGGCGUGCCUCAUACAUGCAAGUCGAGCGGGGGUCAUGGAGGUCUUCGGGCCUUCAGGGCUCCAGCGGCGGACGGGUGCGUAACACGUGAGCAACCUGCCCUUGGGACGGGGAUACCCCUGGGAAACCGGGGCUAAUACCGGAUACGCUUCUCUCCCGCAUGGGGGAGGAGGAAAGGGCGUGGGGAGGAAAGGCCCCAGGCCUGCCCGAGGAGGGGCUCGCGGCCCAUCAGCUAGUUGGCGGGGUGACGGCCCACCAAGGCGACGACGGGUAGCCGGCCUGAGAGGGUGGCCGGCCACACUGGGACUGAGAGACGGCCCAGACUCCUACGGGAGGCAGCAGUAGGGAAUCUUGCGCAAUGGGGGAAACCCUGACGCAGCGACGCCGCGUGUGCGAAGAAGCCCUUCGGGGUGUAAAGCACUGUCGCCCGGGACGAGGGGGGCGAAGAGCCCUUGACGGUACCGGGAGAGGAAGCCCCGGCUAACUACGUGCCAGCAGCCGCGGUAAUACGUAGGGGGCGAGCGUUGUCCGGAAUGACUGGGCGUAAAGCGCGUGGAGGCGGCACGGCGCGUCGGGUGUUGAAAGACCCCGGCUCAACCGGGGGGGUGCGCCCGAUACGGCCGACUGGAAGGCAGGAAAGGGCAGCGGAAUUCCCGGUGUAGCGGUGAAAUUGCGUAGAUAUCGGGAAGAACACCAGUUGGCGAAGGCGGCUGCCUGGCCUGGGC